rnacentral:rRNA from 1 species
GAUGAACGUUGGCGGCAUGGAUUAGGCAUGCAAGUCGAGCGAGAAGGGUUUUGAAGCUUGCUUUAGAACCCGGAAAGCGGCGCAAGGGAGAGUAACGAGUAGUUAUCUACCCCAAGGCCCGGAAUAGCUGCGGGAAACUGCAGGUAAUGCCGGAUAAUAUCCCCGGAUCAAAGGUGUGAUUCCGCCUUGGGAGGAGACUGCUUUGUACUAGCUAGUUGGUAGGGUAAUGGCCUACCAAGGCUACGAUGCAUAGCGGGCGUGAGAGCGUGGCCCGUCUCACUGGGACUGAAACACUGCCCAGACACCUACGGGUGGCUGCAGUCGAGAAUCUUCGGCAAUGGGCGAAAGCCUGACCGAGCGAUGCCGCGUGCGGGAUGAAGGCCCUCGGGUUGUAAACCGCUGUCGUAGAGGAGAAAGGUCUGAUGAAGAAUCAGAUUUGAUCUAUUCUAGGAGGAAGUCGGGGCUAACUACAUGCCAGCAGCCGCCGUAA